UGGUCAUUCCUUCUGCGAGAAGCUGUGACGAUGGUUGAUCUUACUUGAAGAGGAGCAUUUGCACCUGAAACUUUAAGGUCAUACUCCAUAUGAGAUGAAUCAAAUGGAGCCCAUGGUGUCUGCUACUGCUGCAUGGCUUCCCUGGGCAAAAAGGCUUCACAAAAAGUGAGAUGAAGCAGUCUGGCUCCAUCUUGUUUUCAUGGAUGCUGCUAAUAUCCAGCUCUUCCUACAGAAGUAUUUCUCAGCUGUGACUCAGAUCUUGUGGAAAGGGAUGUGACAGUUUCCAAAAGGCACUCAUAAUUCAUCUCUUCUCCAUACCUAGCUGCAAAAACUCAGACAGGUCUGGAGAGCAAAGGGGCUAAUUCCAGGAGAAAACAUGAUUAGAAGAUCAGUCAUCUGCCUCUGCGGUGCUCCUGUUACACAGACUCGUGCAAUGACAUGCCCAGAACAUGAGUCUACGUUGUAUGAGUGGGGUGUUUCACGGUGCAUGUGCAGCCGGUUUCGCUAUACGGCUCAUCGACACGAAGAGCGUCAAUGCCACCAGCAGGAGGGAAAUGGCAAAACACCAUUUAACUUCCUUUGCACAAGGGCAUGGCUGAAAGAAAUAGAAAUGAGGUAGACUUCCUGGAAUUGAUGCUCCUGUAUAUUUUCCUGCUACAGUUUGUUUUUCCCUAGGGAAUUACAUCAAAUCAAGAGGAACACUGUGGAAUAAAUAUGUGCACGUGUGGGGUGUGUGAGAGAGAACGCUUAUAUCACAUAGCAACCAUUAGAUGAUGCAACAAGUUGCCAUCAUCUUCUUGGAUUCUUAAUGCUACCUCUACAAAAAGAUGAAGUGAAAUCACAGUAUUGCACAGGGAGUCUUAAGGUUAGAAGCUUUGGUGUCUAGUCCAGUUACCCUCUCAAUGAAACAUCACUACUGAACUGAAACUGGCUUUGGCCUUAACUUCAGAGUGAACUGAGGAACUGUUUCCUUUACCUAGACAAUCUUUUCUACUUCCAUUUCAGGAAGAAGGAAAUUUGGGUUUGGAUUAGUCUUUUUGCUUGUUUGUGCUUUUUUUGAGUAAUCUGAUGGCUAUAACUAUUUCUACACAGUGUCAAGUUAACAUAGGAUACUGGACUGUUGGUUUGCUUGGGUUUGGGUUAUUUUGUAGUGGAAUUCUUUUGGUUUGGGGUGGUUUGCUGGGGGGAAGUUCAUGUGUGGUGGGAUGUUUUAGUGUUUAUCUUUUUAAUUUACCCUCUUUGGAUUUUAGUUUUCAAGAACUCAAGGUUAACCUGUUUGGA